UGCGCCGUUGUCGUGACAAGGAUGCUGAACUGCUGCUUGUUGCCUACACCAUCCGCGUUGAAGGCCUCCUGAAGCUCUUGCCUGUGCUCACUGAUCCGACCUGGCACAACUCCGAUGGGCUGCUGUUGCCAAUGACUUGCAGCUGGUUCAAAUCAUAUCAGAGGAUGAGAAGGAGAGACUCAAUGGCGUUGCAAGAGGAAGUCUCUACGGUGGCCGCCAAUCAGCUAUGAGGUCUUCAUCAAUAGCAUCUCACCUACCAGGAGGAUAUUGGCCCCAAGGAUUUGUUGGGUGGUGGAGGCCAAGAGGCAAGUAGUCACCUACAGCAGCCGGAUGACGGUAUAGCCCAAGGGGGUGGUGGAUUCAGGGCCGACAAUGAUCUCAGCUUGGAUGAUGCCAGGCACGAGAAUGGCUAUGCUUGGAAGUUAAUCGAUGGACGAGCUGAGCUUCUUUGACUAGUGAUGUGAUGCUGCAGCGGUACAUGGAGCCAUGCUUCUUCUGUGGUGCUUCUGCAGGGGUUCCCUGAUGCGACAGCACCAGCAGCAAGAGAGAAGUAGAGUUGAUGGUCCGUGAUGGUUUUUUUUGUGUUUAUUCAAGUGAUGGUGCUCUUGUAGUGUUGUGGUCUUAAAUUUUCUGCUAGCUGUGUGGUGCUCUUGUAACAUUAAUUAUUUUUAACUUGCUUCGUUGGUUAAAC